UUCAUUGAUACUUGUGUAAUGUGUUACAAUUCUACUGACAAAAUUUGUCCUUUCCUGUGUGUCCUGGUUGUGUCCUCACACACCUGAGAGCUCUGCUGCUGAACCAAGUCAUCUAAAGGGAACUUUCCAAAAAGGGAGCUGUGCUCUGAAUGACUCCAACUAGCUUCUCUCCUCUGUUCUCACGUUGCCAAAACCCAAAACAUACUCUAAUGCUGGCAGCCUAACAACAGUGAUAUUAGAAAGGAUGAACAGUUGUUCUUGAACCAUUUUCCAGUGUGUUGAGCACAAAUAACCUCUCAAUCAAGAGCGAAGGAACACAACCUGUUUUGGUAGCAGAUCAGUGUCUCCAGUGUCAAAGCAUGUCUCCAAUCUCAUCUGUUCCAGGGGCAGUUGGUGCCG